rnacentral:lncRNA from 1 species
AUGCCACCGAUAUGGAAGAUACUGGGGCUUCUGCUUUGGCUCUGUGCUCCAGCGGCAGGCAAAACAAUUGUUCUCAAGGUGGAUUGUUACUGCCAUGGAGAGACAAUAGAACUUGGCGACACUGUGAGGUUUAGCUUUCAAGUGAUCAAGGGUGAAGUCAGCCAUGUCGGUGCAAAGAUACGAAGUCCUAGUUCAACAGAGCUCUAUGAUGUAUAUCGAACACGCCNUGGUAGAUUCCACUUUGUUUCUGAGGAAGCUGGAGGUUACAUGUUUUGCUUUAGCAAUGAACUACGAAGGCUUCCAAAAACCGUGACCUUCACAAUUGAUAUUGGCACCCCACAAAAUCAAGAAGCUGCGGACUCAUAUGCCACUGAGAUGGAAGCAGAAAUUCAGCAAGCGAUAGCUGUUUUGCAGCACUUGAGCUCUUCUGUCAACAAAACAAUAAAUAACUUGGAGGAACGCAUCUCCAAACUGGAGAAAAGAUCGUGUACCGUGUGAGAGUGCAAUGGAGAAUCUUAUCCUGCACGUCCAGAAGCAGGCACCAGUUCAUAUCAAUUUUUUUAAAGCUCUUUCCCCAAAAUCUGCAGCUGCCAUGCUGAUGUGCUCACACUACAGUUUAGCAUACCCACACUUGGAGUUGAUGACCCAGUAUGGUUUCCCCAGGAGUGCCUAUGUAAAUCAAACUUCUAUAAAACCUCUUCAAACCCACAUUCCAACCCUAGUGUUAAUCCUUUCACUGCAAAGUUUUGCAUCAAAACCUUUUCGACUGCUCUUGUAUUUCCUUCAGGUGAAANGGGCNCAGGGGACUCUCAGGGAUAUUUUACACAAAAGGCUGCAUCUACACUGGACCCUAAGGGAGGGGUAGUUUGUGACAGGGUUUGGCUGCAGGNGUUGGAACACAAGGGUAAAAGGACUGAAAAUUGUACUGGAAGUUGGGCCGUGUGAUUGUCUGUUCUGGUCAUUCCUACAUUUGUAUUAGAACAUGGACUCAAUUCAAACACACUCGUUGUCACACCUCAAUUUUCCUGUGCUUGGCAUGAGGAAAUCAUCCCUUUCUCUCUCCACCCCUCACCAAAUUUCUCUCCCGGUGCAGUUAGCGAUUGGAUGCAGUUCCAACGUUCAAGUCUUUCCUUCAUAGGGGCAGAAACGUCAAACUUCACCCUCCAUACUUUCCUCCUGCUGCAUCAGAACAUGCUUUCCCUU